CAUGCCAACUGUCUGCCAUUGGUAUCCGUUGGCGGUGCUUCCUUCCGAACCCGUUCUUCUUCACUGAAACUGGUGAGUCGGAUCUUUACUUUGAAAAAAUUAGAGUGUUCAAAGCAGGCCUAUGCUCUGAAUAGGUUAGCAUGGAAUAAUAGAAUAGGACUUCGGUACUAUUUUGUUGGUUUCUAGGACCGAAGUAAUGAUUAAUAGGGACAGUUGGGGGCAUUCAUAUUCCAUUGUCAGAGGUGAAAUUCUUGGAUUAACGGAAGAUGAACUACUGCGAAAGCAUCUGCCAAGGAUGUUUUCAUUGAUCAAGAACGAAAGUUAGGGGAUCGAAGACGAUCAGAUACCGUCGUAGUCUUAACCAUAAACUAUGCCGACUAGGGAUGUGGAGACGCUACUUAAUGGCUCU
rnacentral:rRNA from 1 species